rnacentral:rRNA from 1 species
CAGUCGCCGCGGUAAAACGUAGGUGGCAAGCGUUAUCCGGAAUUAUUGGGCGUAAAGCGCGCGUAGGCGGUUUUUUAAGUCUGAUGUGAAAGCCCACGGCUCAACCGUGGAGGGUCAUUGGAAACUGGAAAACUUGAGUGCAGAAGAGGAAAGUGGAAUUCCAUGUGUAGCGGUGAAAUGCGCAGAGAUAUGGAGGAACACCAGUGGCGAAGGCGACUUUCUGGUCUGUAACUGACGCUGAUGUGCGAAAGCGUGGGGAUCAAACAGGAUUAGAUACCCCUGUAGUCCCUGUCUCUUAUCA